UACGGGGGGAGCAAGCGUUGUUCGGAUUUACUGGGCGUAAAGCGUGCGCAGGCGGUGAUGUAAGACAGGUGUGAAAUCCCCGGGCUUAACCUGGGAACUGCAUUUGUGACUGCAUCGCUGGAGUGCGGCAGAGGGGGAUGGAAUUCCGCGUGUAGCAGUGAAAUGCGUAGAUAUGCGGAGGAACACCGAUGGCGAAGGCAAUCCCCUGGGCCUGCACUGACGCUCAUGCACGAAAGCGUGGGGAGCAAACAGG
rnacentral:rRNA from 1 species